GCGCCCGUAGCUCAGUUGGAUAGAGCGACUGGCUACGAACCAGUAGGUCGGCAGUUCGAAUCUGUCCGGGCGCACCA
rnacentral:tRNA from 1 species